rnacentral:rRNA from 1 species
AUUGAACGCUGGCGGCGUGCUUAACACAUGCAAGUCGAUCGGUAACGCGGGGGCAACCCUGGCGACGAGAGGCGGACGGGUGAGGAACGCUUGGGAAUCUGCCUAUCAGCGGGGGACAACACGGGGAAACUCGUGCUAAUACCGCAUACGCUCUACGGAGGAAAGCCGGGGACCGCAAGGCCUGGCACUGAUAGAUGAGCCCAAGCCGGAUUAGCUAGUUGGCGGGGUAACGGCCCACCAAGGCGACGAUCCGUAGCUGGUCUGAGAGGACGAUCAGCCACACUGGAACUGAGACACGGUCCAGACUCCUACGGGAGGCAGCAGUGGGGAAUAUUGGACAAUGGGGGAAACCCUGAUCCAGCGACGCCGCGUGGGUGAAGAAGGCCUGCGGGUUGUAAAGCCCUUUCGGUAGGGACGAAAGCUCUCGACCUAACACGUCGGGAGGUUGACUUAACCUACAAAAGAAGCACCGGCUAACUCUGUGCCAGCAGCCGCGGUAAAAC